rnacentral:rRNA from 1 species
UAAUUUGAGAGUUUGAUCCUGGCUCAGGAUGAACGCUGGCGGCGUGCUUAACACAUGCAAGUCGAACGGAGUUUAUAGCCCGAA